rnacentral:rRNA from 1 species
CCCUUAGAUGUUCUGGGCUGCACGCGUGCUACACUGAUUAUUUCAACAAGUGUUUUAACUGGAGAGUUUGCGUAAUCCUGAAAUGUUAUCGUGAUGGGAGUAGAGUAUUGUAUUUGUUAAUCUUUAACGAGGAAUUCCUAGUAAGUGUAGGUUUAUAAGUUGUUCUGAUUACGUCCCUGCCCUUUGUACACACCGCCCGUCACUCCUACCGAUUGAUUGAUCCGGUGAAUUACAUAGAAUUUUGCGUUUUACAUGACGGAAGACGAAGUGUUUUAAACCUUAUCAUUUAGAGGAAGGAGAAGUCGUAACA